GAUGAACGCUGGCGGCGUGCCUAAUACAUGCAAGUCGAGCGAACGGACGAGAAGCUUGCUUCUCUGAUGUUAGCGGCGGACGGGUGAGUAACACGUGGAUAACCUACCUAUAAGACUGGGAUAACUUCGGGAAACCGGAGCUAAUACCGGAUGAUAUUUUGAACCGCAUGGUUCAAAGGUGAAAGACGGUCUUGCUGUCACUUAUAGAUGGAUCCGCGCUGCAUUAGCUAGUUGGUAAGGUAACGGCUUACCAAGGCAACGAUGCAUAGCCGACCUGAGAGGGUGAUCGGCCACACUGGAACUGAGACACGGUCCAGCCUCCUACGGGAGGCAGCAGUAGGGAAUCUUCCGCAAUGGGCGAAAGCCUGACGGAGCAACGCCGCGUGAGUGAUGAAGGUCUUCGGAUCGUAAAACUCUGUUAUUAGGGAAGAACAUAUGUGUAAGUAACUGUGCACAUCUUGCCGGUACCUAAUCAGAAAGCCACGGCUAACUACGUG
rnacentral:rRNA from 1 species